rnacentral:rRNA from 1 species
AGGGGGCUGCUUGGCUCAAGAUUAAGCCGAAAGCAUUUGCCAAGAAAGGGCUGCUUGUUUCAAGAAUAACCCGAAAGAUUUUUGCGAAAAUGGGAGAGCUAAUACAUGCAUUAAAGCUCUGACCUCACGGGAAGAGUGCAUUUAUUAGAACAAAACCAAGCGGCUUCGGCUGUUUCUGGUUGACUCAUAGUAACUGAGCUGAUCGCAUGGUCUUGCACCGGCGACGUGUCUUUCAAGUAUCUGCCGUAUCAACUUUCGAUGGUAGUGUAUCUGACUACCAUGGUGAUCACGCGUAACGGAGAAUAAGGGUUCGGCUCCGGAGAGUUCGCCUGAGAAAUCGCGAACACAUCUAAGGAAGGCAGCAGGCGCGAAAAUUACCCACUCUCAGCACGAGGAGGUAGUGACGAAAAAUAACGAGACCGUUCUCUUUUGAGGCCGGUCAUCGGAAUGGGUACAAUUUAAACCCUUUAACGAGUAUCUAUGAGAGGGCAAGUCUGGUGCCAGCAGCCGCGGUAAUUCCAGCUCUCAAAGUGCAUAGAAUUAUUGCUGCGGUUAAAAAGCUCGUAGUUGGAUCUGUGCCAUAGGACGGGGUCUACCUUCGGGUACGUACUCCGCUCCUAGGCUUUUUGCUGGUUUUCCCGUCGUAGCCUUCACUGGUUGCGGCGGGUGGCUGGCGAGUUUACUUUGAGAAAAUCAAAGUGCUCAACACAGGCGUAUCGCUUGAAUGAUUGUGCAUGGAAUAAUAGAAAAGGAUUUCGGUCCUCUUUUAUUGGUUUUGUGGACUGAGAUAAUGGUUAACAGGGACAAACGGGGGCAUUCGUAUCGCUGCGUGAGAGGUGAAAUUCUUGGACCGUAGCGAGACGCCCUACUGCGAAAGCAUGGCCCAAAAAAGGA